rnacentral:lncRNA from 1 species
UGCUGAAGAGGACAACUCAGGAGGCUGAACGAAUCCUGCUCUGGACACUGACACCAAUUACUCCAGGAAAUUUUUUCCUUGCUAUGCUUUCUGUGUAUAUUGCAACUCACAUAGGGAUGCAAAGUUGGAAUAAGAGCAAUGACCACCUCUCCUGAGAGACCUGUUUGUUCCCACAUCUGUACUCUUCAGUCAACAGAACCUGAUGCAAAGAACAGAAAAGGG